CCUACGGGAGGCAGCAGUGAGGAAUAUUGGUCAAUGGACGAGAGUCUGAACCAGCCAAGUAGCGUGAAGGAUGACUGCCCUAUGGGUUGUAAACUUCUUUUAUCUGGGAAUAAAAUGUUCCACGUGUGGGAUUUUGUAUGUACCAUAUGAAUAAGGAUCGGCUAACUCCGUGCCAGCAGCCGCGGUAAUACGGAGGAUCCGGGCGUUAUCCGGAUUUUUUGGGGUUAAAGGGGGCGUAGGUGGAUUGUUAAGUUAGUUGUGAAAGUUUGGGGCUCAACCGUAAAAUUGCAGUUGAAACUGGCAGUCUUGAGUACAGUAGAGGUGGGCGGAAUGCGUGGUGUAGCGGUGAAAUGCAUAGAUAUCACGAAGAACUCCGAUUGCGAAGGCAGCUCACUGGACUGCAACUGACACUGAGGCACGAAAGUGUGGGUAUCAAACAGGAUUAGAUACCCCAGUAGUC
rnacentral:rRNA from 1 species